CACCUGUUUAACAAAAACAUGUCUUUUUGAAAUAAAUUUAAAGUCUGACCUGCCCACUGAAAUUUUUAAAUGGCCGCAGUAUUCUAACUGUGCAAAGGUAGCAUAAUCAUUAGUCUUUUAAUUGAAGGCUGGAAUGAAUGGUUGGACGAAAUAUUAACUGUUUCAUUUUAAUUUUUUAUAGAAUUUUAUUUUUUAGUCAAAAAGCUAAAAUAAUAUUAAAAGACGAGAAGACCCUAUAAAUCUUUAUAUUUAAUUUAUUUUUAUUAUAAAGAUUAAUUUUAUUUAAAUAAAUUUAAAUAUUUUAUUGGGGUGAUAUUAAAAUUUAAAAAACUUUUAAUUUUUAAAAACAUUAAUUUAUGAGUAAUUGAUCCAGUAAUAUUGAUUAAAAAUUUAAGUUACUUUAGGAUAACAGCGUAA
rnacentral:rRNA from 2 species